GAUGAUGGUGAUGAUGAUGAUGAUGAUGAUAAUGAUGAUGGUGGUGGUGAUGAUGAUAAUGAUGGUAAUGAUAAUGAUGGUGACAAUGAUAAUGGUGAUGAUGAUGAUGGUGAUGAUAAUGAUGAUGAUGAUGAGGAGGAUGAUGAUGGUGGUGAUGGUAAUGGUAAUGAGUGAUGGGGAUGGUGAUAGUGAUGGUGAUGAUAGUGGUGAUGGUGAUAAUAAUUGUGAUGAUAUGAUGGUGGUGCUGGUGGUGGUGAUACAGAUGGUGGUAAUGGUGAUAGUGGUGAUGGUAAUGG
rnacentral:lncRNA from 1 species